AAGGCCUUAGCUUAAUCAAAGCUCCUGCUUUGCAUGCAGAGGAUGUGGGAUAAUUCCCCGCAGGCCUUA
rnacentral:tRNA from 2 species